UCGUAUAUUAUCGUGUAGCUCGCAAUCAGUAUAUACAAGUUUUCAUUAUUGUUUUAUGUCGGAACGUUUACGGUAACAGUACGGUAAUGUGGUAACAGUGAUUUGACGUCCGCCCACCGCACUGUACGCUUUCACUGCGCAAGAGCAAUAUGGAAAGUCAGUGGAAACAUUCGGUUUUAUAUUUCGAAAAAUAAGGAAUAGAAAAAAAUGUUACCAAUGCUUCAGACGCGAUUAAAACUCUAAAUUAAUGUAAAUUCGUGUGUGAUUUGUGUAAACAUACGAACCGACAAUUCAAUUAUUUCACAUAUAAUUGAUAGUAUGGCUGACAUCUUUUGUAGUUUUCUUUAUAUACAUAAUCAUUAUUUUUGACCACAGCAGCCAAUCUCUAAAACUUAAAAGCCGAUUUAAAGCGCAAAAACAACUUGAUGAAUUCCUUUACUCGCAUAGUGCAGAGAGAAGUAUGAACCAGAACAAACGUAAGGUCUUACUAACUUCCAGAGGCACAGGAGUGUAACAAAAUUAGUAAUCAAUCACAAUUAAUAAUGAUUAACAACCAACAUAACGAAUCUUAAAAUCGCUUAAGGAUCGGAGCCGCCUGCUGGACAAAUUUAGUUUGAUUACAGUGCUUAAUACAUCAAGUGAAAUUCGAAUAACAUUGUUAUAUCAGUAACAAUAGUUACGAAAUGCAAGAUCAGACAGGAGUUACUAGGAAAUUAAUUAUAUUCUAAUUGGAAUCUUAACAAUGUCUUAAUAGCUCAACAACUUAUGAACUAGCGGAUCUCUGGUUCGUUUUUAACUUUGAACUGAUAUUUCACCUCGUUUAUAAUAAUUAAUUAUUUAACGAAAUCACUUGAAUUAAUAGGUUAAAGUGAGUCAUGGAUAUAAAUAGAAUAAUAGUGAUGACGAUGGCAUUAAUGAUAGUUGAAUGACAUGAAUGAGUCAUGUCAUUCAA